GCCCGAGUAGCCCAACUGGCAGAGGCAGCGGACUUAAAAUCCGAAAAGUGGUGGGUUCGAAUCCCCCCUCGGGCACCA
rnacentral:tRNA from 1 species